rnacentral:misc_RNA from 1 species
UGUAGUUCUGGUUAGCUGGGGCUGAAGAAUUAGCU